GAUGCCCGCUCGCCUGCCGGCGCUACGCCCUUGCGCGUGAGCCGCUCCGGAGCGGCGGCCUCCGGCCGGGCCGCUGGCGAUGCCUGCCUCGCGGGGCGGGGAGAAGGGUAAAGGUGGCUGUUUCCUUCCUACAUCGGCUCCCAGAGCGCGCGGAGUGGAGGUGUGAACCGCGUAGCUGGCCUCCUCGAGCCUCAGUUUCCCGUUGUGGACGAAGGUGCGAAGAGUCCCAGCGAAGGCUGUGCCGGAGCCGGGAGAGGCGGUGGACGCAAACCCUUUGCGCGCCGGGCCUGGGUUCUUACUGAAAGUAACACUGCAGAAACAUGUCUAGAUGUGAAAGGCAGAACCACAAGGAACAAGUUUUCCAUCCGUGCAACAAUACAGAUGAAUAUUAAAUGCAUAUUUCCGAGUAAAAGAAGCCAGAAUGAUAAGCCUGGAGAAAUCUACUUUCUAGAAAAGGCAGAAGUUAUAGAGACAGAAAACAGAUCAGCCAGUUAUUGCUGAGAGUUUGGGGAAAGGAAAGCAUUCACUCUGUGACGCACGGGGGAUUUUGAGGACCUUGAAAGGAUUUUGUAUGCUACUGUAGUGCUGGUGAGGUGACUCUGUCCAUUGUCAAAACCCAUAGAACUUUGCUGAAGAGUGAACCUUAAUGUAUGCAAAUUUUUAAACAAUCAACUGGGAUGGGUGAGGGAUCCCAGAAUGGAAAACCGACAGUGACAAAAGAAAUGAAGUAUAUCACAGAUUUAUAUCUUAACCUCACUGAAAAGGAUGGGGAAUAUAUUUGGAAAUGACUGGAAACUAAGACUGAAGACAAAAGUUAACUGUAUCUAGCACUAUACUCUAGUUGGUGAGAGUGCUGGUCAGGGUACAAGUCUACCAUUCUGAAACCACUGCACGCAUGUGCUGGGAUUGAACGAAUGUCAAUGGCUGGCAGAUGGUGGGAGCCAGGUUUCUCCCUGCGGAGAGGAAAGCUCCAGUAAAAGGAACCAGGACUCCUGGGAGGAAAGGCUGAUUCCAGGACUGGGCCAAAGAAUAUACAAGAUGAGCUGAGAACAUCUUGCAGUUCCAGAAGCUACCCACACCAAAGAUAAGGCCUUACAAGGGAGGACAAGGACAAGUAAACAAACAGACGGAAAGAAGCUGCACACAGACCACCAGAAGAAAUGACAUUUAGGCAGAGGUGCCUGGAAGCCCAUCCAGUUAUGUACCAGGAAUCGAACUCACGACCUUGCACUUGCCAGGCAGGCGCUGUGCCACUGAGCUAAAUCCCCAGCCCUGAGCUAAGCAUUUUACAUGCUUCAUCUUGCUUAAAUUUUACAAAAUCCCAGGUCCUGGCAACAAUCCUUCCACUUUCUUCAAGAUACAGGCUUCCCAAGCACUGGAUGCAAAACUGUCAUGCACACAAUUCAGACGCUUGUGGCACACGUUUCCCCCAUGAUAAAGUCAUUCUGUCUUCCACAGGGUGAGCCCAGCCCAUCAUUACCUCCUGCUCCUCCCUCCUCUGGAGAGGAGAUCAUCAUGCUAAUCUCUGGAUUCCCUUUGGUCAAAGCAAGCCACUUGGGCAGGAAAAGUUACUUGGCUGAAAUGAAAGAGGGCAUCUCACUCUCAGGGGUCUCUCUGUCAUUUCCGCUUCUAGAAGGUACCCCAGUGAGUGAGUUGUAGGGUCACACAUGGCCUUCUGAGGACAAAGGAAUCUCCUCCAUCUGCAUGAAGCAGCGUGGGCCAUGAGUAACUGUUUUUCCAACUGGCAACUUCUGACCUUGUUCUAUUAGCCAGUCCUUUACUCCCUAUUCUUGAGCCACCUCAUCCAAUGAACCUGCUGUGAACUAAAGUCCCAAUCAUCACGGACUUCCAGCCAUAGAGAAGUUCAGCAAAUCAUGCCACCAAAUACAACUGGAAAGCUGGACAAAAAUGACUGGAACAAUCAUCUUGGCACUCUGAGAAUACGUUCAAGGUGGACAACAACCUGAAAAGCAGGUAUGCUUGAAGAAUGAAUGAACUUCAGGUAAGAGCAGUGAAGCCUGUGGUGUUGUGGCUGGGGCCGCUCCUCGUCUCCCACCACCCCAGGUUUGUCACUGCAACCACUCUGUCCGGUCAACUUAGCUAAGUACCAGCCACAGUGCUGCCACCAUCACAGGGCAUGAAGAACGAGGGAAGGACUAGAGGCAUAGUGAAGUAAAUUCUGUAUUUUUCAGGAAUUAAAUUAGUAUUAAUAAAAUGGAUUAUAAUAAAUUAAAUAUAUAUUGUUAUGUUAAAAAUACCUAAAAAUAAUUUUUCAAAAACAACAGAGUAAUUUAAAUGUUGCCCUAAAGUAUUUAGUACAAAAUAAAGCAAUCAAGGAGGAACAGAAGCUGGGUAUGGUGGUGCAUGCA